rnacentral:rRNA from 1 species
GAUGAACGCUGGCGGCGUGCCUAAUACAUGCAAGUCGAGCGAACGGACGAGAAGCUUGCUUCUCUGAUGUUAGCGGCGGACGGGUGAGUAACACGUGGAUAACCUACCUAUAAGACUGGGAUAACUUCGGGAAACCGGAGCUAAUACCGGAUGAUAUUUUGAACCGCAUGGUUCAAAAGUGAAAGACGGUCUUGCUGUCACUUAUAGAUGGAUCCGCGCUGCAUUAGCUAGUUGGUAAGGUAACGGCUUACCAAGGCAACGAUGCAUAGCCGACCUGAGAGGGGGAUCGGCCACACUGGAACUGAGACACGGUCCAGACUCCUACGGGAGGCAGCAGUAGGGAAUCUUCCGCAAUGGGCGAAAGCCUGACGGAGCAACGCCGCGUGAGUGAUGAAGGUCUUCGGAUCGUAAAACUCUGUUAUUAGGGAAGAACAUAUGUGUAAGUAACUGUGCACAUCUUGACGGUACCUAAUCAGAAAGCCACGGCUAACUACGUGCCAGCAGCCGCGGUAAUACGUAGGUGGCAAGCGUUAUCCGGAAUUAUUGGGCGUAAAGCGCGCGUAGGCGGUUUUUUAAGUCUGAUGUGAAAGCCCACGGCUCAACCGUGGAGGGUCAUUGGAAACUGGAAAACUUGAGUGCAGAAGAGGAAAGUGGAAUUCCAUGUGUAGCGGUGAAAUGCGCAGAGAUAUGGAGGAACACCAGUGGCGAAGGCGACUUUCUGGUCUGUAACUGACGCUGAUGUGCGAAAGCGUGGGGAUCAAACAGGAUUAGAUACCCUGGUAGUCCACGCCGUAAACGAUGAGUGCUAAGUGUUAGGGGGUUUCCGCCCCUUAGUGCUGCAGCUAACGCAUUAAGCACUCCGCCUGGGGAGUACGACCGCAAGGUUGAGACUCAAAGGAAUUGACGGGGACCCGCACAAGCGGUGGAGCAUGUGGUUUAAUUCGAAGCAACGCGAAGAACCUUACCAAAUCUUGACAUCCUUUGACAACUCUAGAGAUAGAGCCUUCCCCUUCGGGGGACAAAGUGACAGGUGGUGCAUGGUUGUCGUCAGCUCGUGUCGUGAGAUGUUGGGUUAAGUCCCGCAACGAGCGCAACCCUUAAGCUUAGUUGCCAUCAUUAAGUUGGGCACUCUAAGUUGACUGCCGGUGACAAACCGGAGGAAGGUGGGGAUGACGUCAAAUCAUCAUGCCCCUUAUGAUUUGGGCUACACACGUGCUACAAUGGACAAUACAAAGGGCAGCGAAACCGCGAGGUCAAGCAAAUCCCAUAAAGUUGUUCUCAGUUCGGAUUGUAGUCUGCAACUCGACUACAUGAAGCUGGAAUCGCUAGUAAUCGUAGAUCAGCAUGCUACGGUGAAUACGUUCCCGGGUCU